GGGAGAGGAUGCAGAGUAGGCAGCGAAGCUGCUUCCCCACACCCGGGUUUGACUCUCCCACCAGCCCGCCGCCUGGGAAACGCGCCCUCGGCUGGCAUCGGGGUACCAGAGCCCGGCUCCUUUCUUCCUUUCUUUCUUUUUUAAACGGCUCUAGCGCAAACCAGGCAGUGGGUCAGGGCCCAGAGGCGGGGGAGGGAAGAGGAGAGGGCUGUCUCCAACUCGGGGAGAAGAACGGCCGGCCGCAAGUUUCCCGGUUUGUGCCAGUUUGGGGAUUUGCGAAUCAGACCGGAGCGGAGGGAACGGCGGCGCCUUUUCAGUGGCGGAGAUCUCAGGUGCCCCACGCCAGGGUCUACUAGAGAAUCGGGGCGACCGCAAGCUCAGUCGCGGGACAGGCGAGGCUCGCCAGCUCCACGAAGCGUCACCGGCACGUAUUUUUCUUUUUUUAACAGCCUGUUUCUACCAUUCAGCCUCUGUCUCACAUGCUUUAUAAAAAAAAAAGAAGUAAUAAAACUCCUUUAAAUUA
rnacentral:lncRNA from 1 species